rnacentral:rRNA from 1 species
GAUGAACGCUGGCGGCGUGCCUAAUACAUGCAAGUCGAGCGAACAGAUGAGGAGCUUGCUCCUCUGACGUUAGCGGCGGACGGGUGAGUAACACGUGGAUAACCUACCUAUAAGACUGGGAUAACUUCGGGACACCGGAGCUAAUACCGGAUAAUAUAUUGAACCGCAUGGUUCAAUAGUGAAAGACGGUUUUGCUGUCACUUAUAGAUGGAUCCUCGCCGCAUUAGCUAGUUGGUAAGGUAACGGCUUACCAAGGCAACGAUGCGUAGCCGACCUGAGAGGGUGAUCGGCCACACGGGAACUGAGACAGGGUCCAGACUCCUAAGGGAGGCAGCAGUAGGGAAUCUUACGCAAUGGGCGAAAGCCUGACGGAGCAACGCCGCGUGAGUGAUGAAGGUGUUCGGAUCGUAAAACUCUGUUAUUAGGGAAGAACAAAUGUGUAAGUAAAUAUGCACGUCUUGACGGUACCUAAUCAGAAAGCCACGGCUAACUACGUG